rnacentral:lncRNA from 1 species
ACUCACAACAAACAUGGCGGCUGCGGUGGGUGUUGGGAGCGGUGGGGUAACGGGGAGGUGAGUGAUGCUCCCGCCCCGUAGCUCAGGAGCCGGGCUAUGGGGGUGGGUGAGAGCCGCCCAGUGCCCUCAUCCCCCAGGGGCCGCCGUCGCCUGUGACUAGUCCCUUGUCUUGUCCACCCAGGCCCGAGGCCCUGUCGUCGGGGAGCAGGAGGCUGCAGUGGGGCUGGGGCCGAGGGCGGAAGCAGUGACACCUCCCCGCCCUGCAGAGGUGGACCCUGGGGGGCAGUGGGUCUUCUCUUCUCCCUCCAGGAGCCAUCACCAAAUGGAACACACGUUAACUUAAACCUAGAGGAAGCUGAUGACAUCUGAAAGAGGACUGAAUCUUAUCUUCCAUCUUAAACUCAUUGCAAGUCAAAGUUCUAGGAAAGUCUGGUCAUCUACAGUGGUGAUAUUGGAAAAGAGUGACAAAUGGGAAAGUGGGGUAGCUGUGCUCCCUUGCUUUCUGUCUGACCUACUGGGCGUACAGGUUGGAGUAUGUUUGCUACUUAGCAGGAAACUGAAAUUCAGGCACACAUUUU